CGCAGUGGCACGGGGUGUCCCCACCGGGGGACUGAGAUCACACCCGUAUCGACCUGAUCUCGUUAGUACGAGCGGAGGGAUGUCGCUGAUGAGUGAC
rnacentral:ncRNA from 2 species